GACAACUCGCGGGGAUUGUUUUCCACACCGUGGAAGCUUUGUUCUUUUCGUUUUUUGCAAUAAAUCUUGUUGCUGCUCGCUUUUUGGGUCCACAUUGCUUUUAUGAGCUGUACCACUCACCGUGAAGAUCUGCAGCUUCACUUCAGAGCCUAGCGAGACCACAAGCUCACUGAGAGGAACAAACAACUCCAGACGCGCUGUCUUAAGAGCUAUAACACUCACCGCGAAGGUGUGCAGUUUCACUCCUGAGCUAGUGAGACUACGAAGCCACUGGAACGAAGAAACUCCAACCACGUUUGAACAUCAGAAGGGGCAGACUCCAGACGCUUCAUCUUAAGAGCUGUAACACUCACUGUGAAGGUCUGCAGCUUCACUCCUGAGCCAGCGAGACCACGAACCGAUCUGAACAUCAGAAGGGACAGACUCCAGAUGCCCCACCUUAAGAGCUGUAAUACUCACUGCAAGGGUCUGCAGCUUCAUUCUUGAAGUCAGACCAAGAACCCAGCAAUUCCCAACACACAGGGACCAGCUUCUUUCCUAACUCACUUAGGCUCUUCGUGCUGCUCUGGCAACUAACACCCUUGGCUGCAGGGGCUUGGACACUACCCUUAGUCACUGACAAUUGUGUGAAGGCUGCUGUCGUUAACUUCACUUGAUCACCUUAGGCUCCUGUGAAGUGGUGAGCAAUUCAAACAAAUUCCUGUCGUCAAAUCAUGAGUCCACCUGUCCCGAGUUGGAAGUCUGAACUCAUGUUCCUGGAUUCCUCCCAUGCAUCUUGGUGCUGGUGUGGGGCCUGAACUCAGCCAAUCCGCAACACCUCCAGGAGUCUUCCUCUUAGAUGCUGAGGCCACGGAGAAGGAAGCAGCACAAAGAAUGAACCCUGGAGAGGGUGCCAGAGGCAGGCGGGUUCCAGCCAUGUGGCGGCACAGCCUUACUGGGAUAGUCUAGCUGUGUCACUCAGAAUCCUGAUUUUGUUUGGAAGGACAGCGUGCCUGGUUCCAGAUUUCACUUGACUUCAAAAGUGCUUGAGUCAAAUGCUUCAAGAUGGUUGACCAGAGGCAUCUGGUACUCACCUCCUCCACCAAGAAAAACCAAAAUAGAUAUACAUCUUUCCACACCAAUAGACCUUGUUUUCCGAUGUAGCAUUAUUUUUCAUAGUUGGCGAAUAUACAGUUAUGGAUUCAUAACAGCAAGAUGGAGAAAUUGCACUGCAGAGAAAUCUUUAAAAGCAAUUACCUAAUACUGCAGAUUGCUGAACUGUACCCACACCCAAGACUGAGCAUUGGAUCAAUCCAGAAUAUACAUCAGGUGUUCUGCAAUGUCUGCCUAAAACCAUGACUCUGCCUCCUCCAGCUGUUGCUACAUCUCACUAUGGGUUUCCUGUGACAUUUUGAGCAAGUAUGCCUCUGUGACUGGGGUUCUUACACUCCAGAAUGGAUGAGAAGCACCGUAAGUGGCUUUUAAAAUGAAUAUUCCCUGGCCCUUCAGUCGCUCUAUAGGUCAAGAAUCUGAAUUCUCAACCUGUCUAGAAGGUUCUGGUUUUAAUGGUCUGUGGGCUGCACAUUGAGAAACCUGUUCAGCGAGUGCAACAAAGGUUCCACAUGUGAGAAAGGAAGCAUCAGGUCUCUUGAGCCUGUUCUUUAAUCUGUAGGCUGCACCUUCUCUUUAAAUUCUGCUAAUAACACCAUGCGAGAAAACACCCGAGCUUGAAAAGCCCAUGUUCCAACAUAACUGUCCUUCACCACUCUGGAAAAUUAAUGGUUUGUUUCGAUUAUCCCUUUGUUAAACUCCAAAGUCAAAGAGCUCUGAAAGGCAUACGGUUAUUUUAAGUUUCAGGUGAUUUCUGUUGCCAAAUAUUUUAAAAAUUUAAAAUUGCUACGUGACCUCUUAGUAGUACUAUUAGAUUUCCUGACAAUAAAAAUAAGUCUUUUGGUUUCACCAUUUAUAGUUAGUACAGCUAAUAUUAAGUAUAAUUUUAAAAGCCUUUUAUUUUCUCAGAAAGAAAAAAUAAUCAAAAUCUGCUCAGUGUGGUAUUGAAUAAUUAAAAACAAAAGAACAGUAUCUUCACAUUAGUGUUUAAUAUUAAUUGCUUUUUUACCCUUGACACUGGUGCUAAUUAAAUUUUCAUUUUAUUUUCCAUGACUUGUUUAAACAGUUUUUGCAAAUUAUUGCUAAUCAGCCUAAUAAAACUGAAUCACCUAUUAAACAAUUUUGUUUUGAAUUAAAUGGCAUUAAAAUAA
ensembl:lncRNA novel transcript